UACGGGGGGUGCGAGCGUUGUCCGGAAUCACUGGGCGUAAAGGGCGCGUAGGUGGCCUGGUAAGUCUGUGGUGAAAGCCCGGAGCUCAACUCCGGGUCUGCCGCGGAUACUGCGAGGCUUGAGUGCUGUAGAGGGGGGUAGAAUUCCUGGUGUAGCGGUGAAAUGCGCAGAUAUCAGGAGGAACACCGGUGGCGAAGGCGGGUCUCUGGGCCGUAACUGACGCUGAGGAGCGAAAGCGUGGGGAGCGAACAGG
rnacentral:rRNA from 1 species